CCUACGGGCGGCAGCAGUAGGGAAUAUUGCUCAAUGGGGGAAACCCUGAAGCAGCAACGCCGCGUGGAGGAUGAAGGUUUUCGGAUUGUAAACUCCUUUUGUUAGAGAAGAUAAUGACGGUAUCUAACGAAUAAGCACCGGCUAAUUCCGUACCAGCAGCCGCGGUAAUACGGAGGGUGCAAGCGUUACUCGGAAUCACUGGGCGUAAGGAGCGCGUAGGCGGGAUAGCAAGUCAGAUGUGAAAUCCUAUGGCUUAACCAUAGAACUGCAUUUGAAACUGGUAUUCUAGAGUAUGGGAGAGGUAGGUGGAAUUCUAGGUGUAGGGGUAAAAUCCGUAGAGAUCAAGAGGAAUACUCAUUGCGAAGGCGACCUGCUAGAACAUAACUGACGCUGAUGCGCGAAAGCGUGGGGAGCAAACAGGAUUAGAUACCCUAGUAGUC
rnacentral:rRNA from 1 species